GCUGUCCCUAAGCCACAGGAUGCAGACCAACACAAAGAGUUCUCUCAGCUGGACGUUCCAACUGGAAUGUGACAUGAAGUUCUAAGAGGUUCAGUGACUUGUCCAAGAUUAAACAGCUAUGAAUGGAGAAGUGGAGUCAAAUGCCUCAUCAUCUCUCACCUGGGCAACUGCAACAAUGAGCAGCUUGUGUCUGUGCCUGCAUCCAUCCUUCCAUCCUGUUCUCCAGCAGCAGCCAGAGUGGUCUUUCAAAAAUGCAAAGCUGAUAAUGUUACUCCUCUGCUGUAAACCUUCCAGCGGCUUCCUAUUGCCUUCAGAAUAAAAUACGAAUCGUCUGGCCUCCAUCUAUCUCUCCAGGCUCAUCCUCUCUCAAUUUUCCAUAUCCUUCAGUAUCCUGAUGGGACAGACAGAUGAAGAACCAGAGUCCCAGAGAGGUUAAGUAGCUUGCCCAAGGUCACGCAGCAGUGUAAGCAGUACGGAUGAUUCUUAAGCCCAGAUUGUUUGACUUCCGAGACAUAUCAGAAAACUACGUCAAAGAACACGCACAACUCAGACCUAUUUCCAGUGGCCUAUGCAGAAGAGCUACCCUGCUUGAAUGGAAACCCCUUAAGAUAUACUAUUCUCAAAAACCUAAGUGCUUAGCCUGGCUUAUGGAGGAGGCAAUGCAAUCUACCACAAGAUGAUUAAGACAACAAUGAACUUAAAUCCCAGCCACUGCUGGAGAAUAUCUGCCUGUGAAUUCAAUUUGGUUCAAUUCAAUCCGA